rnacentral:tRNA from 1 species
UCAAAUGUAGUUAAUCUUUAACAUUAACUUUGGGAGUUAAAAAUUUACUGUAUACGUAACUUUUGAA